UGAGUAAUCUGCCCUCGACACUGGGAUAGCCCGGGGAAACCCGGAUUAAUACCGGAUAGCCUUUCGAGCUCUCGGGCUCGUCGGAAAAGGAUGGCUUCGGCUUUCGGUUGAGGAUGAGCUUGCGGCGGAUUAGCUUGUUGGUGAGGUAACGGCUCACCAAGGCGACAAUCCGUAGCUGGUCUGAGAGGACGAUCAGCCACACUGGGACUGAGACACGGUCCAGACUCCUAGGGAGG
rnacentral:rRNA from 1 species